UAGCACGGGUUUCUCUUCAUUCAGGCACAAAUCUUUGGCCUUUUACUAAAGAUUUCCGUGGAGAGGAACAUUGACAAGUUCUUCUUAAUUUUGAAGGCUCUACUAUGGCAAAGCU
ensembl:snRNA U5 U5 spliceosomal RNA